rnacentral:rRNA from 1 species
UGCAAGUCGGACGGAUGGUUUCGGCCAUCAGUGGCGCACGGGUGAGUAGCGCGUGGGAACCUGCCUUUCAGUGGGGGAUAACCGAGGGAAACUUCGGCUAAUACCGCAUGCGCCCCGGGAAACCGGGGGAAAGAUUGAUCGCUGAGGGAGGGGCCCGCGUCGGAUUAGCUGGUUGGUGGGGUAACGGCCUACCAAGGCGAUGAUCCGUAGCUGGUCUGAGAGGAUGGCCGGCCACACUGGAACUGAGACACGGUCCAGACUCCUACGGGAGGCAGCAGUGGGGAAUCUUGCACAAUGGGCGAAAGCCUGAUGCAGCGACGCCGCGUGGGGGAUGAAGCUUCUCGGAGUGUAAACCCCUUUCGAUCCGGACGAAUGUCCCGCAAGGGAUUGACGGUACGGGUAUAAGAAGCCCCGGCUAACUACGUG